UACGAAGGGUGCAAGCGUUACUCGGAAUUACUGGGCGUAAAGGGUGCGUAGGUGGUUGUUUAAGUCUGCUGUGAAAGCCCCGGGCUCAACCUGGGAAUGGCAGUGGAUACCGGACAGCUAGAGUGCGGUAGAGGGUAGUGGAAUUCCCGGUGUAGCAGUGAAAUGCGUAGAGAUCGGGAGGAACACCAGUGGCGAAGGCGGCCAUCUGGACAACUACUGACACUGAGACGCGAAAGCGUGGGUAGCAAACAGG
rnacentral:rRNA from 1 species